rnacentral:rRNA from 1 species
UGGGAUGGGCUCGCGGCCUAUCAGCUUGUUGGUGAGGUAAUGGCUCACCAAGGCGACGACGGGUAGCCGGCCUGAGAGGGCGACCGGCCACACUGGGACUGAGACACGGCCCAGACUCCUACGGGAGGCAGCAGUGGGGAAUAUUGCACAAUGGGCGAAAGCCUGAUGCAGCGACGCCGCGUGAGGGAUGACGGCCUUCCGGGUUGUAAACCUCUUUCAGCAGGGAAGAAGCGAAAGUGACGGUACCUCGCAGAAGAAGCACCGGCUAACUACGUGCCAGCAGCCGCGGUAAUACGUAGGGUGCGAGCGUUGUCCGGAAUUAUUGGGCGUAAAGAGCUUGUAGGCGGUUUGUCGCGUCUGCUGUGAAAAUCCGGGGCUCAACCCCGGACUUGCAGUGGGUACGGGCAGACUAGAGUGUGGUAGGGGAGACUGGAAUUCCUGGUGUAGCGGUGAAAUGCGCAGAUAUCAGGAGGAACACCGAUGGCGAAGGCAGGUCUCUGGGCCACUACUGACGCUGAGAAGCGAAAGCAUGGGGAGCGAACAGGAUUAGAUACCCUGGUAGUCCAUGCCGUAAACGUUGGGCGCUAGGUGUGGGACUCAUUCCACGAGUUCCGUGCCGCAGCUAACGCAUUAAGCGCCCCGCCUGGGGAGUACGGCCGCAAGGCUAAAACUCAAAGGAAUUGACGGGGGCCCGCACAAGCGGCGGAGCAUGCGGAUUAAUUCGAUGCAACGCGAAGAACCUUACCAAGGCUUGACAUAUACCGGAAACAUCCAGAGAUGGGUGCCCCUUUUAGGUCGGUAUACAGGUGGUGCAUGGUUGUCGUCAGCUCGUGUCGUGAGAUGUUGGGUUAAGUCCCGCAACGAGCGCAACCCUCGUUCUAUGUUGCCAGCACGUUAUGGUGGGGACUCAUGGAAGACUGCCGGGGUCAACUCGGAGGAAGGUGGGGAUGACGUCAAAUCAUCAUGCCCCUUAUGUCUUGGGCUUCACGCAUGCUACAAUGGCCGGUACAAAGGGCUGCGAAACCGUAAGGUGGAGCGAAUCCCAAAAAACCGGUCUCAGUUCGGAUUGGGGUCUGCAAC